rnacentral:rRNA from 1 species
UACAGAGGGUGCGAGCGUUAAUCGGAAUUACUGGGCGUAAAGCGUGCGUAGACGGUUAUCUAAGUCGGAUGUGAAAAGCCCCGGGCUCAACCUGGGAAUUGCAUUCGAGACUGAAUAGCUAGGGUACGGUAGAGGGAAGUGGAAUUUCCGGUGUAGCGGUGAAAUGCGUAGAUAUCGGAAGGAACAUCAGUGGCGAAAGCGACUUCCUGGACCAGUACCGACGUUCAGGCACGAAAGCGUGGGAGCAAACAGGA